UCACGGCCCCAGGCGAAGCCCGGCCGGCUACGGCCCCUUCCCCGAGGGCGCUAGGACCCCUAGGUUCUGCCCCUGCAGGCCCCGCCGUCUCUUCUAGCCGCACCCCAUCCGGGUCUGCAGACCCCACCCUCCUGAGGCCCCUUUCCAUUAGCCCCUGCUCCACGAUAAGCCCGCCUCUCGCAGGUCCCACCCUCUCCCGACGACCUUCCGAGCCGCGGGUUACUCGCCCUGUCCCUCAAGUACGUCCCCGCCGGCUCCGAGGGCGCAGGACUGCCCCCGAGCGGGGAGCUGCACUUCUGGGUGAAGGAGGCUCGGGACCUCCUGCCGCUGCGGGCAGGAUCCCUGGACACUUACGUACAAUGCUUCGUGCUGCCUGAUGACAGCCGGGCCAGCCGCCAGUGUACAAGGGUUGUGCGACGCAGCCUCAGCCCUGUGUUCAAUCACACCAUGGUGUACGAUGGCUUUGGGCCUGCUGACCUGCGCCAGGCUUGUGCCGAGCUCUCCCUCUGGGACCAUGGGGCCCUGGCCAACCGCCAGCUGGGGGGCACACGCCUCAGCCUGGGCACCGGCAGCAGCUAUGGGCUGCAGGUGCCCUGGAUGGAUUCCACACCUGAGGAGAAGCAGCUGUGGCAAGCCCUCCUGGAGCAGCCGUGCGAGUGGGUGGAUGGCCUUCUACCCCUCAGAACCAACCUGGCCCCCAGGACGUAGCCCCACCAAGCCUCUCUCUCUGGACCCCCAUCUCAGGGCCUGCCCUUGGCUAAAGUCAAUAAAGUCUAUUCUAAGAGCAAUAAAA
rnacentral:sRNA from 1 species